ensembl:lncRNA
CUGCUUUUCCGGAGUAUUUGCUGCUUCCCAUUUUAUACGAGCAUUGCUCUUCUUUGGAUAGCACAGUUGCUGUAAGUCCAGCUUUUGUUCCCACUGGAAGGCAGUUUUUAUGUCAGCAGGAUGCAGGGGUUAGCUUGGCUGAGCAGGAACAGCCCACAGCAGGCUGAGCUCUGCCAGGAGAAAAUCAACAUGCAAACCACCUGAGCCAAACAACGAUGACCCAGGCUUUAGAAUGGAGCAUGUCACCUUGGCUAGUUAUUUAAUGAUUCAGGCAUUCACACUGUCUGCUUCCCUACAAGCAGAAGGGUCAGAGUAUGUCACAGUGUAUCAGCUAAGCUUGGGAAUGCUGCUCUGGGAAGACAGCCCCUCUGAGCACAGCAUCUCAACCUGUACCAGCCUUCAAGAGGGGACAGCACUCCCCAGCCUGCUUUAUGCCAUCCCAAGUUAGUCUACUUGCAUGAAAGCUGGAUGUCUGUAUACCCAUUAGUCUCAAACCCCGCGUACUGAGGUACACCUGACAAACACGUGAGGCUGUGCACAUUACCCAGGAGGUGUGAUGUUAAACAGAUAAGUAUUAGGAAUGGAUCCAGCCAGGAUGUUGAUGUGAGAGGAUGAUACGCUUCCCUCCCACACUGCUUAUCACAUGAGAAUGACAAUAUAAACACUUGCUCUUUAAGCAGCGGAAACAAGGACAGCUCUUAGAGGAGACUCCUUGUUCUCCACUGCACUGCUCUGCACUGAGAGGCUUCAGAGAUGCUAGCAGCUGGCGCUAUGAGCUGCUUUGGUUGAAGUAUAAAUGUUUGUCUCCAAAAGCAAGCACAGUGUAUUUGGAUGCUCUGCUUCCAAAAGUGCAACAGCUUCUGGAGACCCAGGUGGGACCCCACAGGUGACGGUCCUCUCGGCACCAAGUGUCCAGUUGCCAGCAGCAGGCUUGGAAGCACGCUACGUGUGGGAAAUAUACUUGGUGCAGGAAAGGGGAUGUCCUUAGCCAAGGUGCUGGAAAGCUGAAGGAAAACAGAUGAAACUGCAGAUCUAUCAACAAAAACGUAAGCACGUGACACUUGACUUGGCAGGUCUGUGAGAAGGUCAGCUUCCCCGUGUUUGUAUUUCAGCCAUCAUCCUCCGUACUGGAGAGGCUUUAUCCGCUUGGCUUGCUUAAUUGCAGCACAUUUGACAUGCAUGGAUAACCUGUGCAAUAGCGUCCUUGAUCCAGACCCCAUUUCCAUAUUGCAUCUCUUCCCCAAUGGCCUGAGGUGUCAUGGGUGCACCGAGCUGAAAAUAAUUCCCUCCUGGGGCUGUUGAAGCCCUAGAAAUGUUUGCCAAGUGAAGCUGUGGAUGCUCCAUCCCUGGAGGUGUUCAAGGCCAGGCUGGGUGGGGC